rfam:Bacteroidales bacterium CF, complete genome.
AACGGGGAAACCGAAAACCGAGAAAAGAGUAGGUG